UUAUUUUAAAAGAUGAUGCCAUCUAUGACUUUCAUAGCUAGAGAGAAAAAGUCAAGGCCUAGCUUCAAAGCUUUAAAGAAGAGGCUUACUGUCUUGUUAG